rnacentral:rRNA from 1 species
ACGGGAGGCAGCAGUGGGGAAUAUUGGACAAUGGGGGAAACCCUGAUCCAGCGACGCCGCGUGAGUGAAGAAGUAUUUCGGUAUGUAAAGCUCUAUCGGCAAGGAAGAAAAUGACGGUACUUGACUAAGAAGCCCCGGCUAACUACGUGCCAGCAGCCGCGGUAAUACGUAGGGGGCAAGCGUUAUCCGGAUUUACUGGGUGUAAAGGAGCGUAGACGGCGAUGUAAGUCUGAAGUGAAAGCCCCGGGCUCAACCCGGGAACUGCUUUGGAAACUGUAUAGCUAGAGUGCAGGAGAGGUAAGUGGAAUUCCUAGUGUAGCGGUGAAAUGCGUAGAUAUUAGGAGGAACACCAGUGGCGAAGGCGGCUUACUGGACUGUAACUGACGUUGAGGCUCGAAAGCGUGGGGAGCAAACAGGAUUAGAUACCCUGGUA